GUCCUACGGGGCGCAGCAGUCGGGAAUAUUGCGCAAUGGAGGAAACUCUGACGCAGUGACGCCGCGUAUAGGAAGAAGGUUUUCGGAUUGUAAACUAUUGUCGUUAGGGAAGAUACAAGACAGUACCUAAGGAGGAAGCCCCGGCUAACUAUGUGCCAGCAGCCGCGGUAAUACAUAGGGGGCAAGCGUUAUCCGGAUUUAUUGGGUUUAAAGGGUGCGUAGGCGGAUUGAUAAGUUAGAGGUGAAAUGUCCGAGCUUAACUCGGGAACUGCCUCUAAUACUGUUGAUCUAGAGAGUAGAUGCGG
rnacentral:rRNA from 1 species